AUGAACGCUGGCGGCGUGCCUAAUACAUGCAAGUCGAGCGAACGGACGAGAAGCUUGCUUCUCUGAUGUUAGCGGCGGACGGGUGAGUAACACGUGGAUAACCUACCUAUAAGACUGGGAUAACUUCGGGAAACCGGAGCUAAUACCGGAUGAUAUUUUGAACCGCAUGGUUCAAAAGUGAAAGACGGUCUUGCUGUCACUUAUAGAUGGAUCCGCGCUGCAUUAGCUAGUUGGUAAGGUAACGGCUUACCAAGGCAACGAUGCAUAGCCGACCUGAGAGGGUGAUCGGCCACACUGGAACUGAGACACGGUCCAGACUCCUACGGGAGGCAGCAGUAGGGAAUCUUCCGCAAUGGGCGAAAGCCUGACGGAGCAACGCCGCGUGAGUGAUGAAGGUCUUCGGAUCGUAAAACUCUGUUAUUAGGGAAGAACAUAUGUGUAAGUAACUGUGCACAUCUUGACGGUACCUAAUCAGAAAGCCACGGAUAACUACGUG
rnacentral:rRNA from 1 species